CCUACGGGGCGCAGCAGGCGCGAAACCUUCGCAAUGUGCGAAAGCACGACGAGGUUAUUCCGAGUGAUUUCCGCUGAGGAAAUCUUUUCUCAGAUCUAAAAAGUCUGGGGAAUAAGGGGAGGGCAAGUCUGGUGUCAGCCGCCGCGGUAAUACCAGCUCCUCGAGUGGUCAGGGCGUUUAUUGGGCCUAAAGCAUCCGUAGCCGGCUCAGUUGGUCUCCUGUUAAAUCCAGCGGCUCAACCGUUGGUCUGCAGGAGAUACCGCUGGGCUAGGAGGCGGGAGAGGCGGACGGUACUCCGAGGGUAGGGGUAAAAUCCUUUGAUCCCCGGAAGACCACCAGUGGCGAAGGCGGUCCGCCAGAACGCGCUCGACGGUGAGGGAUGAAAGCUGGGGGAGCGAACCGGAUUAGAUACCCGGGUAGUCCCAGCCGUAAACGAUGCGAGCUAGGUGACACAACGCCUUCGGGGCGUUGUGGUGCCGCAGGGAAGCCGUUAAGCUCGCCGCCUGGGGGAGUACGGACGCAAGUCUGAAACUUAAAGGAAUUGGCGGGGGAGCACCACAAGGGGUGAAGCCUGCGGUUCAAUUGGAGUCAACGCCGGGAAUCUUACCGGGAGCGACAGCAGAUUGAAGGUCAAGCUGAAGACUUUACCAGACGAGCUGAGAGGAGGUGCAUGUCCGUCGCCAGCUCGUGCCGUGAGGCGUCCUGUUAAGUCAGGCAACGAGCGAGACCCCUUACUCU
rnacentral:rRNA from 1 species